GGUCGCGUGGAGCUGGGAUCAGAGUUCUUGCUGUGACACGUGAAGACUUCAUACGGAUUCUUUACCAGCGGAGCCAGAAGGAAAGCCCAAGGCCAAGGGUACUGCUAAAUGCCCCCCAUCAGCGGUUGCCAAGCCCUGGUUCUGGUCUGUUAGGAACCGGGCCGCACAGCAGGAGCAUAACCUAGCCUAUCUGGAUUGAUGCACCGUAGAAGACC
rnacentral:lncRNA from 1 species